UGAUUUGCUUAUAGGAGGAUUUGUGUGAAGGCCAACUACCAUCCUCAAGCAUCUUUCUUCUUGGAGACUUCGGUGGUGGAAGACGCAUCUAUACCGGUUGUUCUUUGUCAAUUUAGAGGAUCUUUUCAUCCGAGUGAUCCUAGCUUCAGACCUUGAAUUUUUUUAGUUGAGGGUUAGAUUCGGAAGUAUCUCAAGAACCCAACCUUGUAGUCCGAAGCCAGUACAUCUCCAUUCCUGGCUCGCCCAGCUAGGAGAAGUCCUAGCCAUGUGCACAUGUUUUCUGUAGUAGCGCUACCCUCCGAUUGGGGUCAAAAAUCCAGCUUCGGCUAUUGAUAUUUUGUUCUGUUCUGUUCCGACUUCACAGUCGAAGAUCCAGUUUCGUGUUGUUAAUUUUUGUUAUUAGUCAGGAAGAUGUACACGUCUGUUUUCUCGUAUUUUUUGUGCUUCUGAUUAUUUCUGUACUCUAAGCAUUUUUUACAUUUCUAUCUGCUUUAAUUAUUCUGCAA